AUUGAACGCUGGCGGCAGGCCUAACACAUGCAAGUCGAGCGAGCGGCGGAUGGGUGAGUAAUGUCUGGGAAACUGCCUGAUGGAGGGGGAUAACUACUGGAAACGGUAGCUAAUACCGCAUCCCAUAAGAUGUGCCCAGAUGGGAUUAGCUAGUAGGUGGGCUAAUGGCUCACCUAGGCGACGAUCCCUAGCUGGUUUGAGAGGCUGACCAGCCACACGGGAACUGGGACGCGGUCCAGACUCCAACGGGAGGCAGCAGUGGGGAAUAUUGCACAAUGGGCGCAAGCCUGAUGCAGCCAUGCCGCGUGUAUGAAGAAGGCCUUCGGGUUGUAAAGUACUUUCAGCGGGGAGGCGUUACCCGCAGAAGAAGCACCGGCUAACUCCGUGCCAGCAGCCGCGGUAAUAC
rnacentral:rRNA from 1 species